GGGGCCGUUUAGGAUUCGACGCCGGUUGCGAAACUUUAGGUGCAUGCCGAGUUGGUAACAGAACUCGUAAAUCCACUGUUGCAACUUCUAUAGUUGCCAAUGACGAAAACUACGGCCAGGAAUUCGCUAUCGCUGCGUAAGCAGCCUUAGAUCCUGAGCUUCUGGUACCUUCGGGUCCAGCAAUCAUUAGGGGAUGUCCGUAAACCCAAAGUGAUUGUCAUAUAGAACGGAAUCGCCGUGCAGUACGUUGUGGACGAAGCGGCUAAAACUUACACAACUCGCCCAAAGCACCCUGCCCGUCGGGUCGCUGAGGGUUAACUUAAUAGACACGGCUACGCAUGUAGUACCGACAGCGGAGUACUGGCGGACGGGGGUUCAAAUCCCCCCGGCUCCACCA
rnacentral:tmRNA from 3 species